UACGUAGGUGGCAAGCGUUGUCCGGAUUUACUGGGCGUAAAGAGCGCGCAGGCGGUCGUGCAAGUCGCGUGUGAAAGCCCCCGGCUCAACUGGGGAGGGUCACGCGAUACUGUUCGACUCGAAGGCAGGAGAGGGAAGUGGAAUUCCCGGUGUAGUGGUGAAAUGCGUAGAUAUCAGGAGGAACACCUAUUGCGAAGGCAGCUCGCUGGGACGUAACUGACGCUGAGACGCGAAAGCGUGGGGAGCAAACAGG
rnacentral:rRNA from 1 species